rnacentral:rRNA from 1 species
CUGCACCAAUGGGCGAAAGCUUGAUGCAGCGACGCGCGUGGGGGAUGAGCUCUCGGAGGUGUAAACCCCUUCGAUCGACGAUGCCGCAGGGAUGACGUACGGAUAUAAGAAGCCCCGGCUAACUACGUGCCAGCAGCGCGGUAAUACGUAGGGGCCCAGCGUGUUUGGAAUUACUGGGUGUAAAGGGUUCGUAGGCGGUGCGGCAAGUUGGGAGUGAAAUCUCUGGGCUCAACUCAGAGACGGCUUCCAAAACUGCCGUGCUUGAGUGUGAGAGAGGCUCGUGGAAUUGCAGGUGUAGCGGUGAAAUGCGUAGAUAUCUGCAGGAACACCCGUGGCGAAAGCGGCGAGCUGGAUCACUACUGACGCUGAAGAACGAAAGCUAGGGGAGCAAACAGGAUUAGAUACCCUGGUAGUCCUAGCCCUAAACGAUCAGGACUUGGGGUGUCACCCGUUCGGGUGACGUCCCGGAGCUAACGCGUUAAGUCCUGCACCUGGGGAGUACGGUCGCAAGACUGAAACUCAAAGGAAUUGACGGGGGCCCGCACAAGCGGUGGAACAUGUGGUUCAAUUCGACGCUACGCGAGGAACCUUACCUGGGCUCGAAAUGCUAGUGACCAGCUGUAGAAAUACGGCCUUCCCGCAAGGGACACUAGUAUAGGCGCUGCAUGGCUGUCGUCAGCUCGUGCCGUGAGAUGUUGGGUUAAGUCCCGCAACGAGCGCAACCCCUGUCCUAUGUUGCCAGCGGGUAAUGCCGGGGACUCAUGGGAGACCGCCGGUGCCAAACCGGAGGAAGGUGGGGAUGAAGUCAAGUCAGCAUGCCCCUUACGUCCAGGGCUGCACACGCGCUACAAUGGCCGGUACAAAGGGUUGCAAACUCGCGAGGGUGAGCUAAUCCCAAAAAACCGGUCUCAGUUCGGAUUGCAGUCUGCAACUCGACUGCAUGAAGUCGGAGUCGCUAGUAAUCGCAGAUCAGCACGCUGCGGUGAAUACAUUCCCGGGCCUUGUACACACCGCCCGUCACACCACGAAAGUCGGCAACACCCGAAGCCGGUGGCCCAACCCUUUUGGGAGGGAGCCGUCGAAGGUGGGGUUGGCGAUUGGGGUGAAGUCGUAACAAGGUA